GGGGAUAUGGCGAAAUCGGUAGACGCUACGGACUAAAAUCCGUCGACUUUUAAAAUCGUGAGGGUUCAAGUCCCUCUAUCCCCA
rnacentral:tRNA from 1 species